GGCGGCGUGCUUAACACAUGCAAGUCGAACGAAGCACUUUAGUUGAUUUCUUCGGAUUGAUUCUAAAGUGACUUAGUGGCGGACGGGUGAGUAACGCGUGGGUAACCUGCCUCGUACAGGGGGAUAACAGUUAGAAAUGACUGCUAAUACCGCAUAACCCGCUAAGGUCGCAUGACCUGGACGGAAAAGAUUUAUCGGUACGAGAUGGACCCGCGUCUGAUUAGCUAGUUGGUAAGGUAAUGGCUUACCAAGGCGACGAUCAGUAGCCGACCUGAGAGGGUGAUCGGCCACAUUGGAACUGAGACACGGCCCAGACUCCUACGGGAGGCAGCAGUGGGGGAUAUUGCACAAUGGGGGAAACCCUGAUGCAGCAACGCCGCGUGAGUGAAGAAGUAUUUCGGUAUGUAAAGCUCUAUCAGCAGGGAAGAAAAUGACGGUACCUGACUAAGAAGCCCCGGCUAACUACGUG
rnacentral:rRNA from 1 species